GAUGAACGCUGGCGGCGUGCCUAAUACAUGCAAGUCGAGCGAACGGACGAGAAGCUUGCGUCUCUGAUGUUAGCGGCGGACGGGUGAGUAACACGUGGAUAACCUACCUAUAAGACUGGGAUAACUUCGGGAAACCGGAGCUAAUACCGGAUAAUAUUUUGAACCGCAUGGUGCAAAAGUGAAAGACGGUGUUGCGGUCACUUAUAGAUGGAUCCGCGCUGCAUGAGCUAGUUGGUAAGGUAACGGCUUACCAAGGCAACGAUGCAUAGCCGACCUGAGAGAGUGAUCGGCCACACUGGAACUGGACCACGGUCCAGACUCCUACGGGAGGCAGCAGUAGGGAAUCUUCCGCAAUAGGCGAAAGCCUGACGGAGCAAGGCCGCGUGAGUGAUGACGGUCUUCGGAUCGUAAAACUCUGUUAUUAGGGAAGAACAUAUGUGUAAGUAACUGUGCACAUCUUGACGGUACCUAAUCAGAAAGCCACGGCUAACUACGUG
rnacentral:rRNA from 1 species